GUCAGUGAGUCCAGCUGAACGGGUGGAGGAAGUGAGGAAACCGGCUGACCUCCGUCCCAUUGGACCAGAAAGUACCGAGCGGACCGUCAUCAGCCGGGAGGAAACGUCUCUGUGGGAACCUCUCCGGCGUCAGGAGGAAAACAGUCUGUAUUGUUUUAAACGUUCACAAAUUCAAAGAUCAAAGAGAAAUAAAACAAAUAAGAUCAAGAGAAAAACUCUUUUCAUUCUUUCUAUUGAACUUAAAGUUGCAAAUUUUGUAUUUUUCAAAUUAAGAUGUUAACAUACACAACAUAUGAACUGCUCAUGUAUUUGUUUAUCUGUAUAAAUGUAUGUACAUCUUUAAUUAUAAGUUCAUUAACCAAUUAGUCAAUUGACAGAAAUGAUUUUAAUUUUCGCUCCAGCUUCACAGAUGAUUUUUGCUGCUUUUCCUUUAAUAUUUUGACUAAAUUUUUGAUAAUGCUGAUGUUUGUGCUGCUAUAAACAAUGUGAAGAUGUUCCUGAGCACGACUGAAGCACCGACUGCAGGGUCGUUCAUCACAUGUGAGAGAUAACGGUGAUCAUGAAACAAACGAUCGAGUGUGGUGGAUAGCAAAACAUUCAUUCUUUAUUGACUGGAAAAAUACAGGGACCAAAAGAAAAAAAAACAAAAGAAAAAAAACAACAAAUGUGCAGUCAAAAUGAUCCCCAGACACCCAUGAUUAAAAUCCCCAAAGCGACUUCAUUUCAUCUCAAAAAAAUUACAGAGUUAAUGUGCAGCAAGUAAAGCGCUAUGUUAAGUCAUGCCACGAAGCAGAGGAGGGCUGAGGGGGUUGGGUGGAGGGGUGAGGGCGGGUAAGUAAAGGAGGGGAAAGGCCAGCCAUUUAGGUGGUACGGGGGCAUCGUGAGUCAAAGCCACAACACAAGAGAAGCAUCAUCAUCA